rnacentral:rRNA from 1 species
GACGAACGCUGGCGGCGUGCUUAACACAUGCAAGUCGAACGGAAAGGCCCUGCUUUUGUGGGGUGCUCGAGUGGCGAACGGGUGAGUAACACGUGAGUAACCUGCCCUUGACUUUGGGAUAACUUCAGGAAACUGGGGCUAAUACCGGAUAGGAGCUCCUGCUGCACGGUGGGGGUUGGAAAGAUUCGGCGGUUGGGGAUGGACUCGCGGCUUAUCAGCUUGUUGGUGGGGUAGUGGCUUACCAAGGCUUUGACGGGUAGCCGGCCUGAGAGGGUGACCGGCCACAUUGGUACUGAGAUACGGCCCAGACUCCUACGGGAGGCAGCAGUGGGGAAUAUUGCACAAUGGGCGGAAGCCUGAUGCAGCAACGCCGCGUGCGGGAUGACGGCCUUCGGGUUGUAAACCGCUUUCGCCUGUGACGAAGCGUGAGUGACGGUAAUGGGUAAAGAAGCACCGGCUAACUACGUG